rnacentral:sRNA from 1 species
UUGUUGGGUCCUCAUUUCUGCAAACUGUUUUCAGUGCAAUAUGUGGAAUUUCCUGUACCAGAGAUUUUAAGAUAUCAAAGGCUGAAGUGUUCAGAAUUCAGGGUUUGUCAAGUCUGUACAACCAUAUCCAGUUGUCUAGUAAUUUAAUGCCUGGCUGUGACUACUCACUUUUUAAGGAUGGUAUUGAGCCUAUGUGGGAAGAUGAGAAAAACAAACGGGGAGGACGAUGGCUAAUUACAUUGAACAAACAGCAGAGACGAAGUGACCUCGAUCGCUUUUGGCUAGAGACACUUCUGUGCCUUAUUGGAGAAUCUUUUGAUGACUACAGUGAUGAUGUAUGUGGCGCUGUUGUUAAUGUUAGAGCUAAAGGUGAUAAGAUAGCAAUAUGGACUACUGAAUGUGAAAACAGAGAAGCUGUUACACAUAUAGGACAAGGAAAGGUUAGGACUUCCUCCAAAGAUAGUGAUUGGUUAUCAGUCCCACGCAGACACAGCUACUAAGAGCGGCUCCACCACUAAAAAUAGGUUUGUUGUUUAAGAAGACACCUGAGUA